AUGGAAGAUUUCGUGCCUAGUAAAACAAUAGAUGAAUAUGAAUUCAGGACAAUACCAAUAUGGGUAAGAGCGUAUGGCGUCCCAAUGGGGAUGAUGAGCAAAGAAACAAGAGAUUUGAUAGGAGAACAAAUUGGGAAAGUCAUUGAUGUAGACCCAGAAAUUAGUGGUGAUUCUAUGGGAGCAUUUAUGCGGAUCAAAGUGAGAAUAGAUAUCACCAUGCCAAUUAUGAGGUUUGUAACAUCUUUUAUUGACGAUGAGGAAGAACAAGAGCAGGAAAAUGUAAUGAUACCUGUGGGAGAUGAUGAGGAGAUAGAACUAAGGAGAAAGAAGAGAGAAAUGGAGGAAAAAAUUGUCUCCUUCACAUACGAGUAUCUUCCUGACUUCUGCUACAGCUGUGGAAUUAUUGGACAUACUAAAAAAUCACGCCCAACUAGAUCUAGAAGAACAGGGUCCAGACAGUUCGGGCCAUGGUUGCGUGCAAAUAUUUACAAGGGGAGCUCGAGUGAAGAAAGAAGUAGGGGUUCGAAUGAUAAAGGGAAAUUUUGA
rnacentral:rRNA from 1 species